AUUGAACGCUGGCGGCAGGCCUAACACAUGCAAGUCGAGCGGAUGCAGGGAGCUUGCUCCUGGAUUCAGCGGUGGACGGGUGAGUAAUGCCUAGGAAUCUGCCUGGCAGUGGGGGAUAACGUCCGGAAACGGGCGCUAAUACCGCAUCCGUCCUGAGGGAGAAAGUGGGGGAUCUUCGGUUCUCACGCUUUCAGAUGAGCCUAGGUCGGGUUCGCUAGUUGGUGGGGUAGAUGCCUACCGGAGCGACUACCCGAAACUGGUCUUAAGGGAUGACCAGUCACACUGGAACUGAGACACGGUCCAGACUCCUACGGGUGGCAGCAGUGGGGAAUAUUGGGCAAUGGGCGAAAGCCUGAUCCAGCCAUGCCGCGUGAGUGAUGAAGGUCUUCGGAUUGGAAAGCACUGUAAGUUGGGAGGAAGAGCAGUAAGUUUAUACCUGACUGUUUUGACGGUACCAACAGAAUAAGCACCGGCUAACUUCAUG
rnacentral:rRNA from 1 species